rnacentral:rRNA from 1 species
UACGUAGGUGGCGAGCGUUGUCCGGAUUUACUGGGUGUAAAGGGUGCGUAGGCGGAAUUGCAAGUCAGUCGUGAAAUCUGUGGGCUCAACUCACAAAUUGCGAUUGAAACUGUGGUUCUUGAGUGAAGUAGAGGCAGGCGGAAUUCCCGGUGUAGCGGUGAAAUGCGUAGAGAUCGGGAGGAACACCAGUGGCGAAGGCGGCCUGCUGGGCUUUAACUGACGCUGAGGCACGAAAGCAUGGGUAGCAAACAGGAUUAGAUA